AUUAUCAUCCUCUUUCCCUUUCAGAGGCGUCCACACUGCAGGUCCGAGGCCCAACCUCCAGACCAGACUCCACGAUCCUGAUUGUGGACAACAGCGAGCUCUACGGGACGUCAGGGAGCGUAGCAGCUACAGAACAGAAAGGGGAUCGAAAUGACAAUGAGGCUCUUCCAGAUCUCCUGUGCAGUAGGGCGGCUAAUCCUCCCUUCCGGGGUCACGCAGGUAAACUCAAACUUUGUUUGU